AUUGAACGCUGGCGGCAGGCCUAACACAUGCAAGUCGAGCGGAUGAAUGGAGCUUGCCCCUGGAUUCAGCGGCGGACGGGGGAGUAAUGCCUAGGAAUCUGCCUUGUAGUGGGGGAUAACGUCCGGAAACGGGCGCUAAUACCGCAUACGUCCUGUGGGCGAGGGUGGGGGAUCUUCGGACGUCACACUAUCUGAUGAGGAUAGGUCGGAUGAGCUAGUUGGUGGGGUAAAGGCAUACCAAGGCGACGAUCCGUAACUGGUCUGAGAGGAAGAUCAGUCAGCCUGGAAGUGAGAAACGGUCCACACUCCUACGGGAGGACGCAGUGGGGAAUAUUGGGCGAUGGGGGAAAGGCGGAUCCUGCAAAGCGGGGGGUAUGCAGAAGGUCUUAGGAUGGGAAAGCAAUUUAGGUUGGGGGGAAGGACAGCAAGUUCAUCCGGUAAGAUAUUGACGUUACCAGCAGAAGAAGCCCCGGCUAACUCCGUG
rnacentral:rRNA from 1 species